rnacentral:rRNA from 1 species
GACGAACGCUGGCGGCGUGCUUAACACAUGCAAGUCGAACGGAAAGGCCCUGCUUUUGUGGGGUGCUCGAGUGGCGAACGGGUGAGUAACACGUGAGUAACCUGCCCUUGACUUUGGGAUAACUUCAGGAAACUGGGGCUAAUACCGGAUAGGAGCUCCUGCUGCAUGGUGGGGGUUGGAAAGUUUCGGCGGUUGGGGCUGGACUCGCGGCUUAUCAGCUUGUUGGUGGGGUAGUGGCUUACCAAGGCUUUGACGGGUAGCCGGCCUGAGAGGGGGACCGGCCACAUUGGGACUGAGAUACGGCCCAGACUGCUACGGGAGGCAGCAGUGGGGAAUAUUGCACAAUGGGCGGAAGCCUGAUGCAGCAACGCCGCGUGCGGGAUGACGGCCUUCGGGUUGUAAACCGCUUUCGCCUGUGACGAAGCGUGAGUGACGGUAAUGGGUAAAGAAGCACCGGCUAACUACGUG